CUACAACCCGCAUUUGGUAAGCACUUGUGUUUCCAUUUUUAAGCUUCAACUUUGUUUUCCUCACGAAGGACAGAGUUGGUGGCUCAGAUUGGCCCGGAUUGGUCAGUGCUGAACAUGAUAGUCCACUGAGCAUUGCAUUGUCAUGGGUUUGUGACAAUGCAAUUUUGCUCUUCUUCUUUUUUUAAUGCGAUCCUGUUUUCUUUUUGUUAUCCUAAAGCCUUUCCUCCCCUCGUGUUGCGUCCAGUGGCAAUGCGCCGUUUGGUGACAAGAGACAGGCGACUGAACAAUCGCUUGGGAAAAAAAUAUGCCGCAGAUCGAUCGGGAUAACUUUAUAAAACCAAACUAAAUUGUCACCUCAGCGGAUAGGGAAAUAUUAUUGUUUUCCAUGUCUUGUGCGCCUAUAGACAAAGUCAGAUCUGUGCCGGAUAUGGUAAGUGCUCUCUCAACCACACCACGUCUCCUGCCCAGACGAUGAGCGCAUUCAGGAGGAGCACAGAGUUGCAAUGCCAAGAAGGGAAAACAGAAAGAUAGAUAGGGUAGAUAAAUGGAAUGAGAUGUGACUCGUUAUGUGCAUCACUGCCUCAGCAAUCUGGAAAGGACAGGUGGUAGGUUGGGGUUGUCACACUUGGGUAAGCUUUUGUUCCUAAUCUAGAGAAUAAUCUGAGACAAGGCGUGUGUGUCCAGGAGUAUUCAAAGGAUGUGUGCCCUAAUCCUGAUUGGGAGGAGCAGUGGCAGUACUGUUCAUCAUGUCAUCAAAAGCAUCAUCUCACAUACAUAGGCCAUAAGGGCCAAGUAUGGGAUCAAGAAAAAAAGGAGAGACAAGUAAAGGGCAUCAUCUGAUAGAAGAUAUCAGCCGAAUUGAAGUUUUGUUCAUUUGAUUCAGGUCAUCCUGCUCUGUGCAUCAGCUUUGUUAUGAUCUCUUGGGUGAAGAUAUAUCUCUUGAGCACUUGUUUGUCAAAUUCUGGAUGGCUCCAA
rnacentral:lncRNA from 7 species